rnacentral:misc_RNA from 1 species
GAUGAAGAACGUAGCGAAAUGCGAUAAGUAAUGUGAAUUGCAGAAUUCAGUGAAUCAUCGAAUCUUUGAACGCACAUUGCGCCCGCCAGUAUUCUGGCGGGCACGCCUGUCUGAGCGUCAUUUCAACCCUCAUGCCCCUAGGGCGUGGUGUUGGGGAUCGGCCAAAGCCCGCAAGGGACGGCCGGCCCCUAAAUCUAGUGGCGGACCCGUCGUGGCCUCCCCUGCGAAGUAGUGAUAUUCCGCAUAGGAGAAGCGACGAGCCCCUGCCGUUAAACCCCCAACUUUCUCAGGUUGACCUCAGAUCAGGUAGGAAUACCCGCUGAACUUAAGCAUAUCAUAAGCGGAGGA